ACAGAGGUGACAAACCGUUUGGUAUUUAUUGGUAAAAGCAGAAAAAACAUGUGACAAAAGUACAAGCAGUAAUCCGGUCCAAACUGUCCGACCCAUGGUAAUCCAAAGCAAGCGGCGGGUCAUACUCGGGUUAUCGGGUUAGCCGGAAUCUUUAUGGAGUUAUAGCUGGAUAGUAAUGAGUCGGUUCGGUUUACUAAAUUAAACCCAAAUCCGACCGGCCCAUAAUACUUAUUAUUCUGGACGCAAUAACUAAAUCCUAUUUCAGUCAGACACUCUCCUCUCUCUUUCUUGCGCCGUUUAUCUCAGUUUUUCCCCCACCAAAUUCUAAUACAUCUUCAACACAACAACGUUGUUCUGCUGAUUGAUCCAUGUUACUGCCGCUACACCACCACCUUACGCGAGCAGUUUCACUCCCUCAUUCUUGUUCUUUUUCUUUUUCUUCUUCUAUCUUUUCUAUCUCUCACAUUAACAGUAUCCAUAUUCAUGUCACCCAUGAAAGUUUCCAACAAAAUCUAAAUGAUCAAAUCCGUUUUUGGAUUUUUAUUAAGGCACAAGAUAUUUACUUGAAACCUGAAACCGAGAAAAACCAAAACCGAAUCUUAACCGGACGAAACUGGGCCUGUAUUUGUCAUCCAAUGGUCUGGCCGGUUUGAAGUUUUGGACCCGAAAACCUAACCGGUCCGACCGUUGUCCACCCCUAUUUAAAGACUACUCGUUUUCGUGUUUUGAAUCAUAACAACCAUUUUAGUUUUUUGUUUUUGCUAUUAUCAGUAGCCACCCAUAACUAACCUCAUCAUCUGCCACUACUGAUCUCUACCCGGAUAUGUUGUUUUCGGAGCUCUUUCUAUUUCUGCCGUUACCACCUCACUUUCGAGAUAGAUUCUUUUGGGUUUCUUUGUCAACUAUAAUUUCCUUGAUUAAUUAGGUUCAGUGAUAGGUUCAGAGAUGUUGUCAAUAUCGUGGGCUAUGCUUUCAUUGCCAUGGUCUAUUGCUCAACUCAGAUGGAUUGCUGGCGCAUCAAUGAUACUAGUUUUUGCUGGCGGCUUUAAGGGAAAAAUUUGUGGAUUUGGUCAAUAUUUGGAUUUUUUUGGCGUGUCUAUUAGAUCCACUAUAAUAGCUUCCACAUGCAUGAUGACAAUUAAAAGAUCUAAUUGUAUGCAUAGAAAUGGACCGGAUUUGUCUCAAAUUCCUGAUUUUGAUCCCUUAUCACUGGCCUGAACUUUAAUUGCGGCUGUUAUGUCCCUUACAUACUCCACUAUUGGGGUUGCUAAAAUUAUAGGCUGCUCUCCGUCGUGCCUUGGCUCAUUCAGGAAUGAAAAUUGGUCGCAUAGGUAUUCUUAUAAUCCAUUUUUCUUGUGCUUCUCUCCCAUUAGAGUUUUUGUAUGAUUCUUAGGUUUUACUGCUCUUUUGUUGAUAAGCAUGUGAAUCUUGUUUAUGAAGCUACAAUUUUUUUUAUUCCUUUGUAAUAUUUUGUUUCUUCAGCAUGACAUUGGACUUCUCAGUUCGGAUCCCUAAUCAUUGUUUCUGAAGGAAUUUGUUUGUGUUUUUAAAUUUCCACUUGAAAUCUUUUAAUCGAUUUCUCCCUUGUUUUGAGUUGUUUCUAUGAUCUGCAGGUUUUUCUGCACUUGUGUUUUAUUCGUGAUGUGUAUAUUUGCGUAUGAAUUUCUCAGUUUUUAUCUCUAAUCAUCACUGUUAGAAUUUGUUUCUGAUUUUAAGUUUAUAGAGUAUGUGACCCCAAUUCCUCCCGAUAGCCCAACGGUUUAAAAUGAUGUGUCAUUGAUCUCUUGGUCACUAGGAAUGGUGCAAAGCAUCAUGUUAUCUUCUUGAAUUACCAGACUUUGUAUACUAUAUGUAAUUAACUUGUUUGAAAUGCAAUAAUGUAAUUGUCAUAUUCCAAGUAGUAUUUACAAUUCUUAAACAAUCUUCAUGUGUUGACCAGCAGAGGGUAAUGGGGUGAUGGUCUGAGCACUAUAUUUGAUUUUACUAUUGAAUACAAGCCGGGUGCACUCUCUAGGGUGUGUUUAAUGGCUUGGUCUGCACCAAGGUGUUCACUUCUGGAUGCGUUGCGUGCAGAACUUCAACCUGAUCCUUGCUUGUUGACCUUACUGCAGCAAUGUCAAUCAAAUUCAUGCCCAGAUUUGAACUACGGCAGUAAACAUGGUCUUUUGUCUUGGCACAAUCGACUAGUUAUACUAGAUAAGAGCACACUCAUUCAAACAAUCUUAGAGGAUUUUCACUCAUCACCAAUUGGGGGACAUUCAGGCAUUACUCGCACUAUCGCACACACAGAUUCUUAAUUUUAUUGGACACACAUGCGACAACAUAUCAAAGCUUUCAUUAAACAAUGUAUUGUGAGUCAACAAGCCCAGACUUCCACGAAGAUCAAGAAGCAAUAAAGUUGACUUAUCCUAAUCUCAACCUUGUGGACAAGGUUGAUCUUAAUGGGGGAGGUAUUGCAAGGAAUUCAGUCAGCAACUUGGAACCACAAGAGAUUGAGCCAGCACAGCAGAAUGAAAACAUAGAUGCGAAAAUAUGUUUGUUGGUGAUCCGAGAAAUACGGAGGCGCAGUCUGCGUGUGAAGAUUCCUAACACUAGAUUGGAAGGAUAUAAGGUGUAUAGUAGUAUAGGGGAUAAGAAAUAGGUGUGGAAUGACUAAUAUCUGUCUCCUCUCUUGCUGGACCCGUUAGUGGGUAUUUUCUUCUUAGGUUUCCAGCAUUCUUGCAUUCUGUAUACUCUUCCUUGGCUAUAUAUAUCCAGAAGAGCUUUUGUUCUUGAAAGUUCAUUAAUAUAACAACAAUCCCCUUUCACA